GAUGAACGCUGGCGGCGUGCUUAACACAUGCAAGUCGAACGGGAAUUACUUUAUUGAAACUUCGGUCGAUUUAAUUUAAUUUUAGUGGCGGACGGGUGAGUAACGCGUGGGUAACCUGCCUUAUACAGGGGGAUAACAGUCAGAAAUGGCUGCUAAUACCGCAUAAGCGCACAGAGCUGCAUGGCUCAGUGUGAAAAACUCCGGUGGUAUAAGAUGGACCCGCGUUGGAUUAGCUAGUUGGUGAGGUAACGGCCCACCAAGGCGACGAUCCAUAGCCGACCUGAGAGGGUGACCGGCCACAUUGGGACUGAGACACGGCCCAAACUCCUACGGGAGGCAGCAGUGGGGAAUAUUGCACAAUGGGCGAAAGCCUGAUGCAGCGACGCCGCGUGAGCGAAGAAGUAUUUCGGUAUGUAAAGCUCUAUCAGCAGGGAAGAUAAUGACG
rnacentral:rRNA from 1 species